UACGGGGGGUGCGAGCGUUGUCCGGAAUCACUGGGCGUAAAGGGCGCGUAGGUGGCGUGAUAAGGGUGUGGUGAAAGCCCGGGGCUCAACCCCGGGUCGGCCAUGCCGACUGUCAGGCUCGAGUGCUGUAGGGGCAGGCGGAAUUCCGGGUGUAGCGGUGGAAUGCGUAGAGAUCCGGAGGAAGACCGGUGGCGAAGGCGGCCUGCUGGACCGGCAUUGACGCUGAGGCGCGAAAGCUAGGGGAGCAAACGGG
rnacentral:rRNA from 1 species